AGCUUUGCGCAGUGGCGAUACCGUAAUCACUGAGGUUAUACAGAAGCGCGAUUAUUGCUAAUUGAAAAAAAUCCUAUUUAAUAGUGUAUCAUGUUUUCUACAAGGAAUUUACAACAGUUGUAUUCUGAUAAUAGU